rnacentral:rRNA from 1 species
AUGCGGUGUUACCGCAUCAAAGAAACAUGCAUUCCUGAGUUUUCAGAGCCGCCAGAUUGUGAGGAUGAUCAGCCACCUGACUCCUUUCUCAACCAUGCAUUUAGCAGCAGUGAGCAGUCACCCUUUGAGGUCCUCCAUGGAGAUGCUCAUUUUAGGGGCCACUUGGUUUGUAGGAAUUCACCGUAUCUGGGUAACGUAGUCAUACACCCUUUGGAUGUUUGGUUUUUCUGGUUUCGGCGAGUCUGGUUUGGCUGGCUGUGGCUGCUGUUAGAUUUGCUGGAUAUCGGAUCGGUGGAUAAGCACGGUGCAACAACUGUUGUUUGGUUAUUACUUGUAGCAGCAGUGAGUGUAGUAGCAUUUCAUAUCUAUCACCCCAGUGUUGAGUUUUGA